AGAGUUUGAUCAUGGCUCAGAACGAACGCUGGCGGCGUGGAUAAGACAUGCAAGUCGAGCGCUGAUUGCGGGGUAGCAAUAUUCCGUAGUCGGAGCGGCGCAAGGGUGCGUAACACGUGGGUAAUUUGCCGCGAAGUUGGGGAUAACUCGCUGAAAGGCGAGCUAAUACCGGAUGUGAUCAUUUGGUGGCAUCAUUGGGUGAUCAAAGUUGGGGACCCGCAAGGGCCUGACGCUUUGCGAUAAGCCCGCGGCCUAUCAGCUAGUUGGUGAGGUAACGGCUCACCAAGGCUAAGACGGGUAGCUGGUCUGAGAGGACGACCAGCCACACUGGAACUGAGAGACGGUCCAGACACCUACGGGUGGCAGCAGUCGAGAAUUUUUCACAAUGGGCGCAAGCCUGAUGGAGCGACGCCGCGUGGGGGAUGAAGGUCUUCGGAUCGUAAACCCCUGUCAUUUGCGAACAAACCUCUUCCGAUAACACCGGAAGAGUUGAUUGUAGUGAAAGAGGAAGGGACGGCUAACUCUGUGCCAGCAGCCGCGGUA
rnacentral:rRNA from 1 species